rnacentral:rRNA from 1 species
UACGGAGGGUGCAAGCGUUAUCCGGAUUCACUGGGUUUAAAGGGUGCGUAGGGGGGUUGGUAAGUCAGUGGUGAAAUCUCCGAGCUUAACUUGGAAACUGCCAUUGAUACUAUCAGUCUUGAAUAUUGUGGAGGUCAGCGGAAUAUGUCAUGUAGCGGUGAAAUGCUUAGAUAUGACAUAGAACACCAAUUGCGAAGGCAGCUGGCUACACAUAUAUUGACACUGAGGCACGAAAGCGUGGGGAUCAAACAGG